CCUACGGGAGGCAGCAGUGGGGAAUAUUGCACAAUGGGGGAAACCCUGAUGCAGCGACGCCGCGUGAAGGAAGAAGUAUUUCGGUAUGUAAACUUCUUUUGUCAAGGGACAAAAUCAGGCUCGAGAGCCUGACCGAGGGUACUUGAAGAAAAAGCAUCGGCUAACUCCGUGCCAGCAGCCGCGGUAAUACGGAGGAUGCGAGCGUUAUCCGGAUUUAUUGGGUUUAAAGGGUGCGUAGGCGGACUGUUAAGUCAGCGGUAAAAGCCCGGGGCUCAACCCCGGCGAGCCGUUGAAACUGGCUGUCUUGAGAUGUCGAGAGGUAUGCGGAAUGCGCAGGGUAGCGGUGAAAUGCUUAGAUAUUGCGCAGAACUCCGAUUGCGAAGGCAGCAUACCGGCGGCGAUCUGACGCUGAGGCACGAAAGCGUGGGUAUCGAACAGGAUUAGAUACCCCAGUAGUC
rnacentral:rRNA from 1 species